GGACACCUCGCUUUGCUCUAGCUUUUCCUGAGGGCUCUUCAGAAGGUUCGUGGGAAGACGCAAUCAAAGGAGCCUUGGUACCCUAAGGAGCUGCUUCCUUGCCUCCCCUGGGAAUGCCAGAAGAUUCCUCUGAGCAGUCCCAGCCUGCUCCAGGAACACGGUGUACCAACAUGCCACAUGUCACGACAUCCAUGCCGAUGCGGACCUUGUGUCCUUACUGCGGAAACUACGUCAUGACCAGGACCACCCCUGUGCCCGGCAUCCUCUCCUGGGUGCUGUGCCUGGGCCUCUGCGUGGUUGGGUGCUUCCUCGGCUGCUGCCUGAUCCCUUUCUGUGUGAGAAGCCUCAUGGACGUGAAGCACACGUGUCCCGUGUGCAGACAGACGCUCUUCCACCACCGCCGCCUGUGACCGCCAGAAUAAAUGUGUGCUUCAUCCCA